rnacentral:rRNA from 1 species
ACGGCAGCGCGGGGCAACCUGGCGNCGAGUGGCGAACGGGUGAGUAAUACAUCGGAACGUACCCANGAAGUGGGGGAUAACGUAGCGAAAGUUACGCUAAUACCGCAUAAGCUCUUUUGUCAGGGAAGAAACCGCUGUAGGCUAAUAUCUGGAGCUAAUGACGGUACCUGAAGAAUAAGCACCGGCUAACUACGUGCCAGCAGCCGCGGUAAUACGUAGGGUGCAAGCGUUAAUCGGAAUUACUGGGCGUAAAGCGUGCGCAGGCGGUUUUGUAAGUCUGUCGUGAAAUCCCCGGGCUUAACCUGGGAAUUGCGAUGGAGACUGCAAGGCUGGAGUCUGGCAGAGGGGGGUAGAAUUCCACGUGUAGCAGUGAAAUGCGUAGAGAUGUGGAGGAACACCGAUGGCGAAGGCAGCCCCCUGGGUCAAGACUGACGCUCAUGCACGAAAGCGUGGGGAGCAAACAGGAUUAGAUACCCUGGUAGUCCACGCCCUAAACGAUGUCUACUAGUUGUCGGGUCUUAAUUGACUUGGUAACGCAGCUAACGCGUGAAGUAGACCGCCUGGGGAGUACGGUCGCAAGAUUAAAACUCAAAGGAAUUGACGGGGACCCGCACAAGCGGUGGAUGAUGUGGAUUAAUUCGAUGCAACGCGAAAAACCUUACCUACCCUUGACAUGUACGGAAGCCACGAGAGA